UUGGGGACAAGUUAAGGAACUAUGAU
rnacentral:piRNA from 1 species